rnacentral:rRNA from 1 species
UAAACAUUGAUACAUUACUACACCUGCAAUCCGCCCGGGUACUACAAGCACUAGCUUAAAACCCAAAGGACUUGGCGGUGCUUAAGAUCCCCCUAGAGGAGCCUGUUCUAGAACCGAUAAUCCACGUUUAACCUCACCCUCCCUUGUUUUUUCCGCCUAUAUACCGCCGUCGUCAGCUUACCCUAUGAAGGUCUAACAGUGAGCAAAAAUGGCACAGCCCAAAACGUCAGGUCGAGGUGUAGCGCAUGAGAGGGGAAGAAAUGGGCUACAUUCUCUAAAAAUAGAAGCACACGGAUAAUAUAUUGAAACAUAUAUUUUAAGGAGGAUUUAGCAGUAAGUAAAAGUUAGAAUAUUUUACUGAAUCCGGCCCUAAAGCGCGC